rnacentral:rRNA from 1 species
GACGAACGCUGGCGGCGUGCCUAAUACAUGCAAGUAGGACGCAGUUGCGAACGGGUGAGUAACGCGUAGGUCAAUGCCUAUUAGUGGGGGAUAACUAUUGGAAACGAUAGCUAAUACCGCAUACUAGUAGAUGGAGCUGCUUUGUAUUAGCUAGUAGGUAGGGUAAUGGCCUACCUAGGCGACGAUACAUAGCAGAACUGAGAGGAUGAGCAGGCAACAUGGGACUGAGACACGGGCCAGAACCCUACGGGAAGUAGCAAGAGGGAAACUUCGGAAAUGGGGGGAACGCCGACCGCGCAACGCCGGGUGAGUGAAGAAGGUUUUCGGAGCGUAAAGCUAUGUUGAGAAGGAAGCGGUACUUAACCAGAAAGGAACGGCUAACUACGUGCCAGCAGCCGCGGUAAUUC